UUCUACAGCCAUAGCACCCUGAACAUGCUAGAUCUCAUCUGAUCUGGGAAACCAAGCAGAUUUGUACUUGGAUGAGAGAAGGCUGUAACCA
rnacentral:rRNA from 14 species